CCUACGGGGGGCAGCAGUGAGGAAUAUUGGUCAAUGGGCGCAAGCCUGAACCAGCCAUCCCGCGUGCAGGAAGACGGCCCUAUGGGUUGUAAACUGCUUUUCCAGGGGACGAAUCGUUUCUACGUGUAGAGACCUGACGGUACCUUGGGAAUAAGCAUCGCCUAACUCCGUGCCCGCAGCCGCGGUAAUACGGAGGAUGCAAGCGUUAUCCGGAUUAAUUGGGUUUAAGGGGGACUUAGGAGGAAUAGUAGAAAUCCUACAGCUUAACUGUAGAACUGCCAUUGAUACUGUUAGUCUUGAGUUUGGUUAAGGUAGGCGGAAUGUGUAAUGUAGCGGUGAAAUGCUUAGAUAUUACACAGAACACCAAUUGCGAAGGCAGCUUACUGGACCGACACUGACGCUGAGGCACGAAAGCGUGGGGAUCGAACAGGAUUAGAUACCCCAGUAGUC
rnacentral:rRNA from 1 species